CUCUCAAUCGAGAGAACUUUAUCUCUUUUAUCUCCAUCUCCCUCCCUCUCACCGCUCAACUCUUUCACAGAGGAAAUAAUGGACGAUGGGUUUUUUCUCUGUAACUGUUAGUCAAUGGACAUCGAGUCUGCUCAUUGAAUUCCUCUGUUACCUCUUCCAUUAUUUUCUCUCAAUCGACCUCCGUCGUUUUCUUUACAAUGUCUCCAGAUCUGGAAGGUGGAGUAGAAGUCAAUACCCUCUAACAAAUAAUCGAUUUCAAUGUCUGUGCUUUCAGUUAUAAAAUCCUACUCGAGAUUACUUGGGGUUGCGGGUUACUUCAGCCGGUUCCUAUUGUGAUUCCUGGUGAUGAUGGUGUGGUGGUGGUGAUGGAUUACAAGAUGUCUCAGUUUGGUCGUUAAAUUGGUUGUCUUUUUUCUUUUGAGGUGGCAUCUGAAUUGGAGAUAUAGAAGUUAACAUACAUGGUUUAGGUGAUGCUGGAGAAAGAAUUUCAUUGUUUGAGUUUGGGUGGUGAUUUGAAGUGUUCUUUUGAAAUGGGUAUCAUUGAUCUUUGGUUUAACAAGAGUUUAAAUCAAAAGAAUUUGUACGGACCUUCUUCAUAAGAUGAACCAAUUUGUUUACUGCAAGAGCAUAAUCGACCUGCUUAUGAUGUCAAAAGCCUUUGGUAAUUGAGAUGGUUCUUCACUGUUGAGGGUUGUUCUGUGUAGAGGUAGUGUGGCUGAAGCUCGAUCUCACAACGGAGCACAUAACUCGUGGAACUGCAGGGUUGUUCUGUCUCUUUUCGCAAACUUUAAGAUUUCCAGGAUGUUUCUGACCUCCAAUUUCCCAUGGCUAGAAAUCAAAUUGAAGGAAGACUGCAAACUAAAGUGACGUCCAUAAAGGUGUUUGUUCACAUAUGCAAUGGCUCAAUGUAAAUGCCUAAAGAAGGGCAUGCACUGAUUAACCGUAAGGAGUGAACAAAGCUUUCCCUGUUUGAGGCAGUGGGUACCAACAAUUCAUCAUUUAGCCGCUAUGUUCGAUGCUGCUCACGGUGAACUCGAACGAUUCAAAAAAUGUGCAGAAGCACUAGACCGUUUAAUUGGAGAUGGAAUAGCAGAAACAGUUAAGAACACUAAAUCUGAUGACGGUAAACGUGUGUUCUUGCUUUUCAAUUUUAUGCUUGAUUUUGUUUAUUUCUGAUUUUGGGUCUGGGGAGGGGUAGUUGAUUUUCAAAUUGUUGUGCUUCGGUUGCUUUGUUUGUCAUGUUUACGGGGUUUUUUAGAAUGGUUAGUAUAAAUUUACGACUUUAGGUUGGAUAAUCUUCAUGAAUGUUUCUUUUUCUUGAGGGAUUUUUGAAAUUGGAUACUAGGCGAAGACAUUGAUUCCUGAGUGGGUAAUUGUAAAUUGUUGGUACGAGUAGUCCACAUGAGGGUGUGACCAAAUUUCUUGAUUAUGAAAGUUCUAUACCAAUAGAGUUUGAAGAUGAUAAGCUUAAAAGUGGGGAAAAUUUUAGUAAAUCGUUCCAACUGAUGAAUGUUAACAUUUGUGCGAUGAAAAUGAGAUGGGUGUUUUAGAUUAAGUAUUAGGUCUACGAUUACCACAUGGCUAAGUGGGUUAAUAUACUUCAGCGGUAAGAUGUUGGCUAAGUGAGUAUAUGACCAUAUCCUGCGAUGUUGGCUAAGUAGUAUUAAUUGAUGGUAAAGUUGAUAUCCUAAAAAAUUGGCAAGUGCGAAUGUAUGUUUAUAUACUCUGUGGUGAUGUGUUUUGCAAGUGUAACUCCCUUAUCCUGGGAAUCCAUAGAAGGGCGCUUGGCUGCUGUGGAAUAUCUUCUUGAAAUGGGUGCUAAUCCUAAAAUUCCAGACGAGUUAAAUUGUACUGCUUUGCAUCACGCCGCUAUGAAAGGACAUAAAGAUGACAUACCCUUGUUAUUUUCAAAAGGUAUUAAUGUGGAUGUUACGAGUGAACUUGGCUAACCGUUGCAAUAUGCUUCUAGUUUGGACCUACACGAUACUGUUAAAGUUCUUUUGGAUCAUGGUGCCAAUGUGAGUAUCCAAUACCCGUUAA